GAUUUGGAGGACUUAUUUUUAUAGUUAUGCUAACACCACUUUUUCAUAUAUUCGACAUUAAAUACUAGUGGAGAAGGUGCAUGGCUUCAUGUCACACAUAUUCAUGAAGCGCUUGUGUUUGUUGUGUGUGGAGCUACAAGUGAUCGGACCUUUUCUUGAAAUACGGAGCAUGAAACAAGGAUGUAACUGCAUCUAAAACAACAACUGGUUUCUUGUAGUUAAGCGGUUGUGCCAAACAUCAUACACUCAGUCAACUGUAGCGGAAAGAAGGAUGUUUGUGUUCAGAUUUGUCUCAUGUCUAGACCUCAUGACAACCAAAACAGUCACACAAAGCCGGAAAUCAUCAUGGUCACUGUACAAGACGCCAUGUCCAUCCAGAAGCUGAUUAGGUCUUGAUUGACCAUGUCAUGCGAGUGUCCAGCGCAUAUCAACCCACCUCUGGUCACUCCCCCGAGGCUGUUACCUAUCGCUUUACACGUGAUUAUCUCUAAUGUUGUCCACCCUGGACUGACCAGGAGAUUUGAACAUGACCAACCCUCAAUCUCUGUCCCUUUUGGCCCAUCAAGAUUUGAGCCCACGGGUCCAUCCUUGCGGAUCAAUUUACCAAUGUCCACUGUGAGUGACACUGUUUAUGCGACACUACGAACACGGCUUCUCGCUCGAGAGAGGUCCCGCUCAACUUACCUCUCUUUGGGAUUAAUUCUGAUUGUUUGGGCUAGCUUAUAUUUCUAGAAAUAUCGUCUUCCAUGGGUGGGAGAAUUAUUGACAAAAAGAGUUUGUGUGUCAGUAUCAAUGAGAUACAUGAGAACAAAGUGCCCACUUCAUUCCACAGACAACAACACUGACUUAACCAUUCCUAGACACGAAAUGUUCAAUACAUGCAACACAAUAGACACAUUAGACGCUGAUAACACACAGUCAAUAAUCGAUUCAUCAAGAAGUAUGAAAACAGGACAUAUAUGUUUGUUUAACAAACGGCUAACUUUAAAACAACACACUUUCUUCUUCCCUGACUCUGGUGGUUAAACGGGUGAAGAAGCCUAGCUUAGUAGUACUAUACGUCUCGAGUUUUAUUGCCCUUCUCUAAUUGUACAAAGAUUGACUUAAGAGAUGGAAAACUGACUUGCAAACAAAGACAAAGGUUUGGUGUGAGUUACAGGCGACAGAUCGCAUAGAUGAUGGGAUUUAUACUGGAUUUGCAGACCAUUCGACCGUUCCCUUUCUUACAACUGUGUAUAUACAGGCAGUAAUCCACAUGAGGAGAAACACUACCUCACUGCCACUUUGAUUGCUCCAGCGCCAGAAACACCGAACCCGACACUACUUCACUGAAACACAUGCAGCUGUUUCACUCUUGUUUCAGUUGUAUGAACUGUAACAUCACGGGGCGAGGUUAUACUUAAUUGCUACUCAGAAUGCCUGUAAAACACCUACAUGCCAAUUUAACCACCUGCAUACCAACCUCUCUCCUGCAUGGAUAUAUGACAAGUGACUGCACUGCUUCGUGCACUAAUGCAUGGUGCAUAUUGGAUAUAUUGAUGGACACACACACACACACACACACACACACACACACACACACACACACACACACACACACACACAAACACAUACAUCAUCAAUGGAUAAGCACCUAUAUAUGAUAUAUAUCAUUAAUAGAUAUAGACACCUGUGUUUCUGUAUGAUAUAUAUAUCCAUCUAUAUAAUUAUCCAUAACCUCAUUUAGUUACAAAUAACCAUCACUUCAUACAGGUAUCUAUCCAUGCAAAUGUUUAAUUUCUAUGUACAGUUUUGCUGGCUUUACUUUGUAUUUACUCAUUUAUGUGAUGAAGGAGCAAGAAUUAUCUCUGAAACGUCGUGAUAAAGAA
rnacentral:lncRNA from 1 species